UGAGUCGGUUGGGCGACCGCGCGGACCACACGGUUCUCGAGGAACGUCCGGGCUCUACAGGGCAGGGUGAUGGCUAACAGCCACCCGGGGUGACCCGAGGGAUAGUGCCACAGAAAAUAAACCGCCGCGCAAGCGGUAAGGGUGAAAAGGUGAGGUAAGAGCUCACCAGCGGUUUGGGUGACCGAGCCGGCUUGGUAAACCCCACCCAGAGCAAGACCGAGCAGCAGGUAUGGGUGGCCCGCCCGACGCCUGCGGGUAGGUUGCUUGAGGCGUUUGGCAACAAACGUCCUAGAUAGAUGGUCGCCACCGCUUGUGCGGGACAAAACCCGGCGUACAGACCGACUCAUCCG
rfam:Actinomyces turicensis ACS-279-V-Col4 genomic scaffold supercont1.2, whole genome shotgun sequence.